rnacentral:rRNA from 1 species
GACGAACGCUGGCGGCGUGCCUAAUACAUGCAAGUAGAACGCUGAAGGAGGAGCUUGCUUCUCCGGAUGAGUUGCGAACGGGUGAGUAACGCGUAGGUAACCUGCCUGGUAGCGGGGGAUAACUAUUGGAAACGAUAGCUAAUACCGCAUAAGAGUAGAUGUCGCAUGACAUUUGCUUAAAAGGUGCAACUGCACCACUACCAGAUGGACCUGCGUUGUAUUAGCUAGUUGGUGAGGUAACGGCUCACCAAGGCAACGAUACAUAGCCGACCUGAGAGGGUGAUCGGCCAAACUGGGACUGAGACACGGCCCAGACUCCUACGGGAGGCAGCAGUAGGGAAUCUUCGGCAAUGGACGGAAGUCUGGCCGAGCAACGCCGCGUGAGUGAAGAAGGUUUUCGGAUCGUAAAGCUCUGUUGUAAGAGAAGAACGAGUGUGAGAGUGGAAAGUUCACACUGUGACGGUAUCUUACCAGAAAGGGACGGCUAACUACGUG